GCAUAGGAGGUGCGGGCAGACAGGAAAAUGAGCCUCCCUGCCGCAUUCAUUAUAGAUUGCAGCGGUGCAAUCUGGGAAAACGUAAGACCAUUGAGAAGAGGAUUGCAGUAGUCAAGGCAAGAAAGAACAACGGAAUGGACCAGCACCUUACCUGUGUCUGGUUUUAAAUAAGGGCGAAUGCGAACUAUGUUUUUGAGAUGGAAGCAGCAGGAUUUGGCAAUCAAC